rnacentral:rRNA from 1 species
UACGUAGGGGGCAAGCGUUGUCCGGAUUUAUUGGGCGUAAAGAGCGUGUAGGCGGCCAUGCAGGUCAGCUGUGAAAACUCGAGGCUCAACCUCGAGACGUCGGUUGAAACCGUAUGGCUAGAGUCCGGAAGAGGAGAGUGGAAUUCCCGGUGUAGCGGUGAAAUGCGCAGAUAUCGGGAAGAACACCCGUGGCGAAGGCGGCUCUCUGGACCGAGACUGACGCUGAGGCGCGAAAGCGUGGGGAGCAAACAGG